rnacentral:rRNA from 1 species
AAUCUUCCACAAUGGACGAAAGUCUGAUGUAGCAACGCCGCGUGAGCGAUGAAGGCCUUCGGGUCGUACAGCUCUGUUGUUAGGGAAGAACAAGUUCGAGAGUAACUGCUCGCACCUUGACGGUAUCUAACCAGAAAGGCACGGCUUACUACGUGUCCGCAGUCGCGGUAAUACGGAGGUGGCAAGCGUUGUCCGGAAUUAUUGGGCGUAAAGCGCGCGCAGGCGGUUUCUUAAGUCUGAUGUGAAAGCCCACGGCUCAAACGUGGAGGGUAAUUGGAAACUGGGAGACUUGAGUGCAGAAGAGGAGGGUGGAAUUCCACGUGUAGCGGUGAAAUGCGUAGAGAUGUAGAGGAACACCAGUGGCGAAGGCGACUCUCUGGUCUGUAACUGACGCUAAGGCGCGAAAGCGUGGGGAGCAAAC